UUGACUGAGAGUGGAAAAGUAAAAAAGUUAGCCCAGAGAACACUGAGAAGGAAUUAAUAUUCCUAGUAGACUAAGAUCCAGCAGUAGUUUCAUUUAGUGCAGAGGCAGAGGACAAAAGCCCAUUGUUCGCCAGCAGUGCAAAAUGGACAAACAGAGAGAAAAAAGUCAGCAAGUGCAGGGCACGACCAUAUCUUAAACACCGCCGUGUUCAUAAAAACCUGAAACAAGACCCAAACUUUUGAAGUAAACUCAGUGGCAGCAGUAGAAAAAUUCCGACGAAAUCAUUUCUGCAGCAAACCGGUGUUGAACGAAGGCUGACACAGAAACAAGGUGAAGACUUGGAUUUCACUUCGUUUCCAAUUCCUAAAUGGAGAGCUCAUGAGUCAAAUGCUACUACUCUGAGUUACCACUUGCUGCUUUCACCACAUCGCAAAACUGGAUCCAACAUGGACUACAACAACACACGGCUGAUUACGAUAUGAUCUGUAACCUAUCACAGCGUGACAGACUGCUUUUCCCCCUGACGAGGAGAGAGUGGACUCCCCAAUACAGCCUUAACCCUCUGACAUCAAGCCAAGCGCAGGGUUACGCAACCCGCUCAACCUGCUUGACCCUGACGACACACGCGUGGCCCCUGCACACACUUCACUGAACAACACACACGCCAAACAUCUGAAGAGGGGUCGCAAUGAGAGUUCAGGGUGAUGGUGGAUCUGGAAGCUUUCACAGGAACCCUGGAUGUGAGGUGGGACAACAUCCUGGAAGGACACCAGUCACUCACAAUCACACACUCAUUUAGCAAAGCAUACCAGCAUGUGGUGAUUUGUGGAGGUGAGAGGAACCUGGAAAACCUGGACUGCAUUCACGAGGACAAAAUGCAAAACUCCACACAAACAGAAACCCAAGAGGGCGAGGUGGCCCUGCCAUGACACAGGCAAUCCUUUGGGGUGGCUCAGAGGAGGUACGAGCAACUGUCAGUCAGAGGAAGAAUAUGGAGCAGCGGGGAAGCCCGUCAGCACUGACAGGGGCCGUCAUUCACACCACGGCACUGAGGAGGACACACACCGAGCCAAUCAACAGAGACCCUGCUGAGGACAGACAGCAUCAGGACGGGAGGCAUCCAACCAUGACGAUGGAGGGCGGGUGGCUUUUGGGACUUUUGAGGGUUCAGCAAGAGUUAAUGACAAGACAGACUCCACCGAGGUAGAGAUAUAGAUUUUCAUGAAUUCAAGGUUUGGGUCGUGUAAGGAAUGUAGCAGAGAGUCUAAGAGUAGCAGAUUGCCAAAGUAGGCAGCUAGCUAGAUGCUCGCAUUCAGUAAAAAGCUACAUGACAUUCCAAAUGACCCUUUUUAGGAUAAAGGAUGUGAAUAGUGAGCAAGCCUAGCAAGGAAGUUCAAAUAAGGUAGACAUGGGGCAGAGAUAGGUUUCACAGCGGAGCUAGCUCAUUUGGGGUUUAGCCACCACCUUUCAGCAGGGCACAACGAACAUACACCCGCACACACACACUUUACCGAACCAGUGAAUUGUUCUUUAUCCACCACACCAUCCAAAGCUCAGUAUCUAAAAGACGUCUCCUCGCAACCGUCCCCAGCACUGCGGUAUUAGGCCUGCCAGCCCAGAGGAAGUACAUAAGGAGCUCUUUGUUAGGCUGUACUGGAGAGACAUUGUGUAGAAUACAGUGCCUGCCCAAGAUAAAAGGCUUGCCUUUCCUCUCAUCUAAGCAAAGUUUAUCCUCCCCGAAGUCUCCCCUUUCUGCUCAGCCGACAAAGGGAUGGCUUCAGUCGUAGAGCACUUUCACUUAUCAAAAUGUCCAUCACUUGAAGCCAUUUAGAUCCAGUGAUGUGAAAACGCGUCACACUUCACUGCUCUUAAGUAAAAUUUAGCAGAUUAAUGAAGAUCCCAGUGCAGCAUGAUAUCAACUACGAAAAAAGUGUUUUAAAUUUUCACAAGCUUGAGCAGAUGCUUUUUGGAUGAACAGGUUUGUCCAUUGGAGAACCAGAAAAUCUAUUCAGAAGGUUUUUUUGAGUUUCACUCAGCGCCACUAGUGAGGAAAUCACAGGCACAUUCUUUGCGGGAUUAAAGCCAGGCAACUUGAUUCUGAGUCCCCGGCUCUCAGGUGGUCCUCAGAGAGCAGUUUGAGACUAGGAGUCAUCCAGUUCAGGACUCAGGUAGCAGAACUUCCUGUAUAACAAUGAGCCGAGUAAGGAAAGCCUUGCAGUAUAUGGCUUCAGUUUGAAACACCUUCACUAGCAGCUGGCAGGAUUUUAGUGAAUUCGUAAAUAGUACUGACUUGUACUGGAUAACUUGAAGUGUGAUAGUUUGUUCUGGAGCUGAAAACAGGAAGAGCAACCGUUCAGUGGGAGGAAGAGAGACAUUCCUAUUCGCCUCAUAGAUAUUGUCCACAGCUGGCUCCACAGCUGUUCUACGUUGCUUCAGACACAAAGGGCAAGACAAAGGACAGUGCGGGUUCACGAGGAGAUUUACAUUUUGUGUGUGCUAAGCGUAUAAUCUGAUAUACUGGAAAGGUCAAAGACUAUGAAAGAUGUGUUUCUAAUAUUUAUCUAAGUCCGUCUACAACGAAAUAGCAAAGACUAUCAUAUGAGUUAAUGAUAUACUGACUAAUUUGUCAGCGAAAUUCAGUUUCCCUGAGACUUCAAGGGAGAAGAUAAAAGGUGUCGACCAAAACUCCACACAAGUUCACAAUGACGGACGCCAAAAGCCAAAGCCAUGGUCACGGCCUACAUGUUUACGGUCCUGGGGACAUACCAAUAGGCCUCGUGUGCUUUUUGAGCACUGAUUAAACAGAUAUAAGGCAUCAGGGCAUUGGAGAUGCCAGGGACUCCAACUGGCAACUCAGUGCAGCACUUAACUGUCACAUCAGCCAUGUGUGGCAUGGUGCCCAUCACCAGAGAGACGGUGGCAAACAGCAGGGCAUGAGCCUGAGAGAGCCAGACAGAGCAGGCGUGGGGCAUCGGGCCAGAGCCACCGAGAGACACAACACUCCCCAAAAACACUCCACGCCAAAUCCUCACACGUCCAAAUAAAAGGUUACAUCUGGCAUAAAUUACCAAAAUCAAACAAUUUGAAAUCCAAUUGGGAGUGCUUUAACAUUUCUGGAGUGCAGGAAACAAUACAUGUCUGUGCAUAUUGAGUUCAUGUAAACAUAGGGAAAUCGCAGAUGUGUGACUUAUGCUUAGGUUGGAAAAAAGCCAGCAUUACAGACAAACAGAUACAGAAAAUGUGUAUUAGUGUGGUGGCUAGAUACAUGCUUCAUAUAAUCAUGUGCCAUGUGCAUUUUAUCA